AGUUCGGAUUGAAGGCUGAAAUUCGCCUUCAUGAAGCUGGAAUUGCUAGUAAUGGCAGGUCAGCAUACUGCCGUGAAUACGUUCCCGGGCCUUGUACACACCGCCCGUCACACCAUGAGAGUUGGGAAUACCCGAAGCCUGUGAGCUAACUUAUAGAGGCAGCAGUCGAAGGUAGAAUCAAUGAGUUGGGGUGAAGUCGUAACAAGGUAAC
rnacentral:rRNA from 1 species